rfam:Lactobacillus rhamnosus MTCC 5462 contig973, whole genome shotgun sequence.
CAUGAAGUUGUGAUUAGACCAAGUAGGUUGGCACCAAUCCAAAGAGAGCGCCGAUUGCUGAGAACGCGUGAUUGACUGACUGAACACACAUCUAAGAACUUGAUAGCCGAACCGAGUAAGCUAUCACGCACCCGUUGCGUUAUCACCGCUGCCAAUAACAGUUCGCGCAAGCCGACAUGGGAUUGGUAGAUGAGGUUUGGGUCGUAAGGUCCAGACAAAUUGAGGUGGUACCGCGAAGUUGAUUCGCCCUCGAA